rnacentral:rRNA from 1 species
ACGGGAGGCAGCAGUGGGGAAUAUUGCACAAUGGGGGAAACCCUGAUGCAGCGACGCCGCGUGAGUGAAGAAGUAUUUCGGUAUGUAAAGCUCUAUCAGCAAGGAAGAUAAUGACGGUACUUGACUAAGAAGCCCCGGCUAACUACGUGCCAGCAGCCGCGGUAAUACGUAGGGGGCAAGCGUUAUCCGGAUUUACUGGGUGUAAAGGGAGCGUAGACGGUUUGGCAAGUCUGAAGUGAAAGCCCGGGGCUCAACCCCGGUAUUGCUUUGGAAACUGUUGAACUAGAGUGCAGGAGGGGUAAGCGGAAUUCCUAGUGUAGCGGUGAAAUGCGUAGAUAUUAGGAGGAACACCAGUGGCGAAGGCGGCCUGCUGGACGACAACUGACGCUGAGGCGCGAAAGCGUGGGGAGCAAACAGGAUUAGAUACCCUGGUA